GUCUUGUGCCUGCUAUUGUUGCUCCAAUCGUUGGAAGAGUGGAACGUCUAUUUGUUUCCACCGGUACAUGUAUUCAUCCAAGGGAUGACAGAGAAAAAUACAGGCAUACACUGACGGCACAGGCAGUCCCUUCUUUGUUUCUUUGUCAUCCACCCCUCAAGCAGCCUGUCAUCCAAAAGAGGAAGCCUCCCAUCAAAAGAAGUCUGCCAACAGAGGAUACAGUACCAUCUGGGCCUUCACCCAAAAGGAUUCACAAUGAACAUUCAUUAAUUUGAAUGAGGAGUUGAUGAAAGAAAAGCUGCAAGACACUCGGAAAAGGCUUGCUGAAACAAUGAAGGAACUCAAGUUUGCGAAAAGAAAAAUCAAGACGAGAGAGAAGACCAUCUCAUCUCUCCUUAGCAGCAUUUUUAUGAUCAAUAAUAUUUAGAAGAUGAAAAUGACCAUUGUGAACAGCUCAUUAGGCAUUUCAUUUUGCUGUACAUUAAGAUUGUUUCCCAACAUCACGGCAGGCUGUUCACUCGUCG